rnacentral:rRNA from 1 species
GGGUAAAUCGUGUCGCUUAACGAUACGAAUUCCGGGUAGACUGCUUAGCUUGAGACUGGGAGAAGCUAGAGGUACUCCUGGGGUAGAGGUGAAAUUCUGUAAUCCUGGGGGGACCACCAGUGGCGAAAGCGUCUAGCUAGAACGGGUCUGACGGUGAGGGACGAAGCCCUGGGGCGCGAACCGGAUUAGAUACCCGGGUAGUCCAGGGUGUAAACGCUGCUUGCUUGAUGUUAGUCGGGCUCCGAGCCCGAUUAGUGUCGGAGAGAAGUUGUUAAGCAAGCUGCCUGGGAAGUACGGCCGCAAGGCUGAAACUUAAAGGAAUUGGCGGGGGAGCACAGCAACGGGAGGAGCGUGCGGUUUAAUUGGAUUCAACGCCGGAAAACUCACCGGAGGCGACGGUUACAUGAAGGCCAGGCUGAUGACCUUGCCUGAUUUUCCGAGAGGUGGUGCAUGGCCGCCGUCAGUUCGUACCGUAAGGCGUUCUGUUAAGUCAGAUAACGAACGAGACCCUCAUUCUUAAUUGCAACUAAUAACUCCGGUUAUUGGGCACAUUAAGAAGACCGCUGGCGAUAAGUCAGAGGAAGGCGAGGGCAACGGUAGGUCAGUAUGCCCUGAAUCCUCCGGGCUACACGCGCGCUACAAAGGCCAGGACAAUGGGUUUCGACACUGAAAGGUGAAGGUAAUCUCGAAACCUGGUCAUAGUUCGGAUUGAGGGCUGAAACUCGCCCUCAUGAAGCUGGAUUCCGUAGUAAUCGCGGAUCAACAUCCCGCGGUGAAUAUGCCCCUGCUCCUUGCACACACCGCCCGUCAAACCAUGCGAGUUGGGUCCAAGUGAGGAUGUAGUAUUUUGCUGCGUUCAAACUUGGGCUUAGCAAGCGGGGUUAAGUCG